rnacentral:rRNA from 1 species
AGAGUUUGAUCCUGGCUCAGGAUGAACGCUAGCGGCAGGCUUAACACAUGCAAGUCGAGGGGUAUAUGGAGCUUGCUCCAUAGAGACCGGCAAACGGGUGCGGAACACGUACACAACCUACCCUUAUCUUGGGGAUAGCCUUUCGAAAGGAAGAUUAAUACCCAAUAGUAUAAUAGAGUGGCAUCACUUAAUUAUUAAAGAACUUCGGAUAAGGAUGGGUGUGCGUAAGAUUAGAUAGUUGGUGAGGUAACGGCUCACCAAGUCCACGAUCUUUAGCUGAUGUGAGAGCAUGAUCAGCCACACGGGCACUGAGACACGGGCCCGACUUCCUACGGGAGGCAGCAGUGAGGAAUAUUGGGCAAUGGACGGAAGUCUGACCCAGCCAUGCCGCGUGAAGGAUGAAGGCGUUCUGCGUUGUAAACUUCUUUUAUCAGGGAAGAAACCUACGAUUUCUAUUGUAGUUGACGGUACCUGAGAGAAUAAGCACCGGCUAAAAAC